AGGGAAUAUUGGACAAUGGGGGCAACCCUGAUCCAGCCAUGCCGCGUGAGUGAAGAAGGCCCUCGGGUUGUAAAGCUCUUUUGUCCGGAAAGAAAUGCAUUCGGUGAAUACCCGGAUGUUCCGACGGUACCGGAAGAAUAAGCACCGGCUAACUUCGUGCCAGCAGCCGCGGUAAUACGAAGGGUGCAAGCGUUACUCGGAAUUACUGGGCGUAAAGCGUGCGUAGGUGGUUGUUUAAGUCUGAUGUGAAAGCCCUGGGCUCAACCUGGGAAUGGCAUUGGAAACUGGGCAGCUAGAGUGCGGUAGAGGGUAGUGGAAUUCCCGGUGUAGCAGUGAAAUGCGUAGAGAUCGGGAGGAACAUCUGUGGCGAAGGCGACUGCCUGGACCAGCACUGACACUGAGGCACGAAAGCGUGGGGAGCAAACA
rnacentral:rRNA from 1 species